rnacentral:rRNA from 1 species
AGCAGCCGCGGUGAUUCCAGCUCCAAUAGCGUAUAUUAAAGUUGUUGCAGUUAAAAAGCUCGUAGUUGAAUUUCGGGAUCAAUAUAUCGGUCGUGCCUCCGGUAUGCACUGGUAUUAUUGAUUUCUACCUUCUGACGAACUGUGAUGUCAUUAAUUUGGUGUCAUGGGGAAUCAGGACUGUUACUUUGAAAAAUUAGAGUGUUUAAAGCAGGCACACGCUUGAAUACAUUAGCAUGGAAUAAUGAAAUAGGACGUUUGACCCUAUUUUGUUGGUUUCUAGGAUCGACGUAAUGAUUAAUAGGGAUAGUUGGGGGCAUUAGUAUUCAAUUGUCAGAGGUGAAAUUCUUGGAUUUAUUGAAGACUAACUACUGCGAAAGCAUUUGCCAAGGAUGUUUUCAUUAAUCAAGAACGAAAGUUAGGGGAUCGAAGACGAUCAGAUACCGUCGUAGU